rnacentral:rRNA from 1 species
GAUGAACGCUGGCGGCGUGCUUAACACAUGCAAGUCGAACGAUGAAGCCCAGCUUGCUGGGUGGAUUAGUGGCGAACGGGUGAGUAACACGUGAGUAACCUGCCCUUAACUCUGGGAUAAGCCUGGGAAACUGGGUCUAAUACCGGAUAGGAGCGUCCACCGCAUGGUGGGUGUUGGAAAGAUUUAUCGGUUUUGGAUGGACUCGCGGCCUAUCAGCUUGUUGGUGAGGUAAUGGCUCACCAAGGCGACGACGGGUAGCCGGCCUGAGAGGGUGACCGGCCACACUGGGACUGAGACACGGCCCAGACUCCUACGGGAGGCAGCAGUGGGGAAUAUUGCACAAUGGGCGCAAGCCUGAUGCAGCGACGCCGCGUGAGGGAUGACGGCCUUCGGGUUGUAAACCUCUUUCAGUAGGGAAGAAGCGAAAGUGACGGUACCUGCAGAAGAAGCACCGGCUAACUACGG